GGGCAUCUAUUUCCUGUGAUCCCUGCCUACUUGAGGCCUUCUGAAGAUAAGUGGCUCUUUUCUUUCCUUUCUACAUCUGUGGCUGCUGCAUUUGGAUUUGUUCUUGUUUGUUUUAGCUGAAGACUUUGCCACCCAGCUAUUCUCAUUCCAUUCUAAUGUUAGAGAAGGGUGUUUUCAGUGGAGCAAAGUUACUACUGCUAUUCUCGAAGCAGGGUUAAAUAGAGCAUAAAGGGAGAGGGAUAAAAGGUUUAAUUAAGGGCGGUGCGGUAAAGCUAGUGACGCGUGCUGAAAUGCAAUUGCUGCUUUUCCAGGUUCGUGUUUAUGCAGAUGCCGUUGUCGAUUGCAUGUGCGGAUCUGCAGGUUGCUCGGGCACCUGUGAGAGCAAUGUCAACGCAGGGAAUAGAGUUUCCUGCUGUGCCCUACUCUGCCUGGGAUUUUGGUGGUGGCAAAUAUCACGCUGGCGGUGAAGACAUUGAAAAUUAUGGGGACAGGUGUCAGGUGACUUUCUGUGGUGGCAUUUUGCAUUUUUUUUGUUUUUAAUUUUGUGGCGUAAAGAUCAGAGUAAAGCCAAAGAAAGGGAGUAGUUCAUCGCUUCCCCCACUCUGCUCUCCCUUGCCCCUCAUCCAAAACAAACAAACAAAACCCCCCAAAACCAACACACACACACUCUCGCAAAUGUUUGUUAAACCUUUGGAUCUCAGAGAAAACAUGACUAAAGAUGGCAGUGGAAGUACGAGAGCGGCAAUGUGACCAAUGACUGAAUUAUUUAUAACUGUAGAACUGCACGUGUUUUUACUGAACACUGUUACGGAGAUACUUUCACAACCAUCAGCAACAUUGUGCCAAGCAAGGUGACAGAUCCUGCCUACGCUAUGCGACAUAUUGCAACGUUCUCUGGGAGAAGAAGCAGUUUUGGAGAUGGGUGGUCUCACAGCUGUGCAGGAGCUUACAUUUACUCAAACAUAAUAAGGAAAUUGCUCUGGGAGAUGAAUAGCAUUGUACUGCAGAGCUUACAGCUAUUCGUGUGAGCUGUUGCUGCUUUAUGAAUAGCAUUCCAGUCAAUGACGCAACAAACUUCUGGUCGUUGAACUAGCUGAAGGAUGCUGCGAGAGCACUCGGUAUUUCUUUGAGAGAGCCCUUUGCUGGACUCUUGGAAAACGUGUCUUGUGUCGCUUUUCUAAUCGUUGGAUGGUAAGAAGGUAGGAGGAACUGAACUUUGAGUGAGGAUCAAUUGCAUGCGAAGGGUGAGUGGAAAAGCGUCUUUUGUGUAAUCCAUACUCAUUUAAAUUUAAUUUAAAAACAGACAAGUUAUGGGCUUUUUUUUUUUUUGUUAAUUUACAUAUGCAAUACUCAUUUAUAGUCAUCACACGCUUCUUUUUUAAACUUAAGUUUGCCCAGAACAGUUGAUUAAACAGACAAACAAACCUUGAGGACAAACAACGGACCAUCGCAAUGCCAGGACAUUGCAUGAUGUCACAGAUCACAAAAUAAGGCCACAUCUGUUCGACGGUCAUUGGGGGCGGAUAAGUUAAUGAAUGUGGGAAUGUAAUGAAUACGUAAUACAUGUGAAAAUAUAACCCAUUUAGGAACAAUUGACCGGCGGAGCGUUCUCAGAAUUAUCUCGACGGUGCCCCGGCCUCGCCAAUGAAGAAUACCUCACUUAAAGGUGCAGCAGAACAGAAUUUCAGGGAGGUGCUGUGAUGAACGCCAUCUAUUCAGCUGGACGGGAAGCACACUAUUAUGUAUGGAUGACGUGACAGUAAGAAAUCUCACAAAAUUACCUCCCUUAAAAUAACAGGUCAGACUUUCUAAAUUCAUCCUUAUAAGAACCCUUUGUUCCAUCAUACUCCUUCAGUUUAAAAAAACUUUUUAAUUUUUUUUUUUUUUUCAGUCACGCUUGAUCCCUCAUAGCUCGCUAGAAAGCCAUCUCAAGCCUCGGGAGAUCACGAGCCAGUUUUACAGUCGGCACGCUCUCUGUCCUUCCCACACCUUUCCAGAUCAGACAGGCCCACGUAACCAUUGCGUACGAACAACUACACAACGCUCAGUCAGAGUGGGAAAUACCACGAUAUUGGUAAGAUUCAAAGCUGUACAAGAACAACAUGUCAGUGCAACAGUAUAAUAGACAAGGACUUAUGAUUUUAUUGUACAAUUGAUUUUGGCAGGAUUUCAGAAGCUGUAUACAGUACAACAAAGAUAAUUACAAAAACGUGUUUGACAAUUAUUUGUUUUGUUUUAAAAUCCUUUAGCUGCCUGCUGCAUACCUACUGUACAACUACAUUAAUUUACAUUUCAGUAGCAGGCAAUGCCGAGCGUAUCCAUCACCAUCACAAUUGCUUGGAGAGGAUCCACAAUUUCUUGCGUGUUAUCUUUUCUCAAAACCCAGUCCGGUUUAAUUCUGUGGCAAUAAGAGUGGUUCAUCAUUAAAAUAGUAUAUUGUCACUGUAAAAACUGCAGACUAAUUUUUAGGGACAUACCUCGAAACUGUCUUUAUUCUUAGAGGAGUUAUCGGAAUAAAGGAAAUUCCACCAAUUACGGUGUUUGUCUUCUGUUUCACAAGCGUUCUCUCUGCAUCCAUUCUGCACUUGCGAACCGUAAGCUUAUAGAGGCUUUGAAUGCAUGUAACGACUCUGGGCAUGCUUCGGAUUUCCUGAGAAAAGAUACUGUGGGAUCAAAACCUUGGUGUCAUACUCUGAGCAACGAAGUCAAACAGCGCUGGCUGGUGACUGUUUUCCCCGCCUCGGAAUUGCAUUUUCCCACCGACAAAGUUCAGUUAUAACAGGUAACGGGUAUCGGGCAAGGAGAGGAAAAAAAAUCACCCGCACAUACACAUAACACCAAAACAUACAAGAAAAGCAAAAAGCAAGGAUAAAUCAAGCAAUUAAAAAGAAGACCCUGGGUCUUACCA